AGCAUAUCAAUAAGCGGAGGAAAAGAAACCAACAGGGAUUGCCUUAGUAACGGCGAGUGAAGCGGCAAUAGCUCAAAUUUGAAAGCUGGCGUCUUCGACGUCCGCGUUGUAAUUUGUAGAGGAUGCUUCGGCGAAGACUCCUGCCUAAGUCCCCUGGAACGGGGCGUCAUAGAGGGUGAGAAUCCCGUAUGUGGCGGGCAGUCUAAGCCAUGUGAAGCUCCUUCGACGAGUCGAGUUGUUUGGGAAUGCAGCUCUAAAUGGGAGGUAAAUUUCUUCUAAAGCUAAAUAUUGGCCAGAGACCGAUAGCGCACAAGUAGAGUGAUCGAAAGAUGAAAAGCACUUUGGAAAGAGAGUUAAAAAGUACGUGAAAUUGUUGAAAGGGAAGCGCUUGCAACCAGACUCGCUCGUAGUUGCUCAGCCGGCCUCUUGGCCGGUGUACUCUUCUACGAUCGGGCCAGCAUCAGUUCGGGCGGCAGGAUAAAGGUGUCGGGAAUGUAGCACCCUUCGGGGUGUGUUAUAGCCCGGCGCGGAAUGCUGCCAGCCUGGACUGAGGAUCUCGCUUCGGCAAGGAUGCUGGCGUAAUGGUUGUAAGCGGCCCGUCUUGAAACACGGACCAAGGAGUCUAACAUCUAUGCGAGUGUUUGGGUGUCAAACCCAUGCGCGUAAUGAAAGUGAACGGAGGUGGGAACCCCUCACGGGGUGCACCAUCGACCGAUCCUGAUGUCUUCGGAUGGAUUUGAGUAAGAGCAUAGCUGUUGGGACCCGAAAGAUGGUGAACUAUGCCUGAAUAGGGUGAAGCCAGAGGAAACUCUGGUGGAGGCUCGCAGCGGUUCUGACGUGCAAAUCGAUCGUCAAAUUUGGGUAUAGGGGCGAAAGACUAAUCG
rnacentral:rRNA from 1 species